rnacentral:tRNA from 1 species
CUCCAAUGGUAGAGCGGCUGAUUCCAAAUCAGUAGGUUGGGGGUUCGAGUCCCUCUGCAC